rnacentral:rRNA from 1 species
GACGAACGCUGGCGGCGUGCCUAAUACAUGCAAGUCGAACGAGAAAGUAGCUUCGGCUAUGAGUAAAGUGGCAGACGGGUGAGUAGUACUUAGGUAACCUACCUCCGAGUUGGGGACAACCUUCCGAAAGGAGGGCUAAUACCGAAUGAGACCACAGUCACUUCGGUGACAGGGGUUAAAGAUGGCCUCUACUUGUAAGCUAUCACUUGGAGAUGGGCUUAAGCACCAUUAGCUAGUUGGUAGGGUAACGGCCUACCAAGGCAAUGAUGGUUAACUGAUCUGAGAGGUUGGUCAGUCACACUGGAACUGAGACACGGUCCAGACUCCUACGGGAGGCAG